GACGAACGCUGGCGGCGUGCUUAACACAUGCAAGUCGAACGAAGAGCGCUGGAAGCUUGCUUCUAUCAAUCUUAGUGGCGAACGGGUGAGUAACGCGUAAUCAACCUGCCCUUCAGAGGGGGACACCAGUUGGAAACGACUGCUAAUACCGCAUACGAUCUCAUCUCGGCAUCGAGGAUAGAUGUAAGGUGGCCUCUACAUGUAAGCUAUCACUGAAGGAGGGGAUUGCGUCUGUUUAGCUCGUUGGAGGGGUAACGGCCCACCAAGGCGAUGAUCAGUAGCCGGACGGAGAGGAUGAGCAGCCGCAUUGGGACGGAGACACGGCCCAGACUCCUACGGGAGGCAGCAGUGGGGAUUCUUCCGCAAUGGACGAAAGACAGACGAAGCAACGCCGCGUGAGGGAUGACGGCCGUCGGGUGGGAGAGCUCUGUUAAUCGGGACGAAAGGCCUUCUUGCGAAGAGUGAGAAGGAUUGACGGUACCGGAAUAGAAAGCCACGGCUAACUACGUG
rnacentral:rRNA from 1 species